rnacentral:rRNA from 1 species
UUAGGAAUCUUGCGCAAUGGACGAAAGUCUGACGCAGCGACGCCGCGUGGAGGAAGACGGCCUUCGGGUUGUAAACUCCUUUUAUCAGGGAACAAUAAAUGAGGGUACCUGAUGAAUAAGGCCCCCCUAACUACGUGCCAGAAGGGUCGGUGAUGCGUAGGGGCCAAACGUUAUCCGGAAUUACUGGGCGUAAAGAGAUGCGUAGGCGACUAGGCAAGUCUAAUGUGAAAGACCGAGGCUCAACUUCGGAAUUGCGUUAGAAACUGCUUAGAUUGAGUCAGAUAGAGGGAGGCGGAAUUCCUGGUGUAGCGGUGAAAUGCGUUGAUAUCAGGAAGAACACCAAUUGCGAAGGCAACCUCCUGGGUCUUGACUGACGCUAAGGCUCGAAAGCGUGGGUAGCAAAACGG